rnacentral:rRNA from 2 species
GACGAACGCUGGCGGCAUGCCUAAUACAUGCAAGUCGAACGAGCUUCCGUUGAAUGAYGUGCUUGCACUGAUUUCAACAAUGAAGCGAGUGGCGAACUGGUGAGUAACACGUGGGAAAUCUGCCCAGAAGCAGGGGAUAACACUUGGAAACAGGUGCUAAUACCGUAUAACAACAMAAUCCGCAUGGAUUUUGUUUGAAAGGUGGCUUCGGCUAUCACUUCUGGAUGAUCCCGCGGCGUAUUAGUUAGUUGGUGAGGUAAAGGCCCACCAAGACRAUGAUACGUAGCCGACCUGAGAGGGUAAUCGGCCACAUUGGGACUGAGACACGGCCCAAACUCCUACGGGAGGCAGCAGUAGGGAAUCUUCCACAAUGGACGAAAGUCUGAUGGAGCAAUGCCGCGUGAGUGAAGAAGGGUUUCGGCUCGUAAAACUCUGUUGUUAAAGAAGAACACCUUUGAGAGUAACUGUUCAAGGGUUGACGGUAUUUAACCAGAAAGCCACGGCUAACUACGUGCCAGCAGCCGCGGUAAUACGUAGGUGGCAAGCGUUGUCCGGAUUUAUUGGGCGUAAAGCGAGCGCAGGCGGUUUUUUAAGUCUGAUGUGAAAGCCUUCGGCUUAACCGGAGAAGUGCAUCGGAAACUGGGAGACUUGAGUGCAGAAGAGGACAGUGGAACUCCAUGUGUAGCGGUGGAAUGCGUAGAUAUAUGG